rnacentral:rRNA from 1 species
GAUGAACGCUAGCUACAGGCUUAACACAUGCAAGUCGAGGGGCAUCAGGAUGUAGCAAUACAUUGCUGGCGACCGGCGCACGGGUGAGUAACACGUAUCCAACCUGCCUUUUACUCGGGGAUAGGCUUUCGAAAGAAAGAUUAAUACCCGAUGGUAUAAUAUUUCCGCAUGGGAUUAUUAUUAAAGAAUUUCGGUAAAAGAUGGGGAUGCGUUCCAUUAGGCAGUUGGCGGGGUAACGGCCCACCAAACCUUCGAUGGAUAGGGGUUCUGAGAGGAAGGUCCCCCACAUUGGAACUGAGACACGGUCCAAACUCCUACGGGAGGCAGCAGUGAGGAAUAUUGGUCAAUGGGCGGAAGCCUGAACCAGCCAAGUAGCGUGAAGGAUGACUGCCCUAUGGGUUGUAAACUUCUUUUAUAGGGGAAUAAAGUGAGCCACGUGUGGCUUUUUGUAUGUACCCUAUGAAUAAGGAUCGGCUAACUCCGUGCCAGCAGCCGCGGUAAUACGGAGGAUCCGAGCGUUAUCCGGAUUUAUUGGGUUUAAAGGGAGCGUAGGUGGACAUGUAAGUCAGUUGUGAAAGUUUGCGGCUCAACCGUAAAAUUGCAGUUGAUACUGUGUGUCUUGAGUACAGUAGAGGUGGGCGGAAUUCGUGGUGUAGCGGUGAAAUGCUUAGAUAUCACGAAGAACUCCGAUUGCGAAGGCAGCUCACUGGACUGUUACUGACACUGAGGCUCGAAAGUGUGGGUAUCAAACAGG